rnacentral:tRNA from 1 species
AUUGCUUUGGCAGAUAAGUGCAAUGAAUUUAGAAUUCAUAAAUGUGGUUAGAUAUUAAUUUCACAGGUAAUA